GUCGAUAUAGUAUAGUGGUUAGUACGGCUCGUUGUGGCUCGCCAAAUCCGAGCAGACCCAUGUUCGAUUCAUGGUAUCGACA